rnacentral:piRNA from 1 species
UAUGUCUAGCAUCAGCAAACUCAUCAG